UGGGGAAUAUUGCACAAUGGGCGCAAGCCUGAUGCAGCCAUGCCGCGUGUGUGAAGAAGGCCUUCGGGUUGUAAAGCACUUUCAGCGAGGAGGAAGGUGGUGGACUUAAUACGUUCAUCAAUUGACGUUACUCGCAGAAGAAGCACCGGCUAACUCCGUGCCAGCAGCCGCGGUAAUACGGAGGGUGCAAGCGUUAAUCGGAAUUACUGGGCGUAAAGCGCACGCAGGCGGUUUGUUAAGUCAGAUGUGAAAAUCCCCGGGCUCAACCUGGGAACUGCAUUUGAAAACUGGCAAGCUAGAGUCUCGUAGAGGGGGGUAGAAUUCCAGGUGUAGCGGUGAAAUGCGUAGAGAUCUGGAGGAAUACCGGUGGCGAAGGCGGCCCCCUGGACGAAGACUGACGCUCAGGUGCGAAAAGCGUGGGGAGCAAAACAGGAUUAGAUACCCUGGUAGUCCACGCUGUAAAACGAUGUCGAUUUUGGAGGUUGUGCCCUUGAGGCGUGGCUUCCGGAGCUAACGCGUU
rnacentral:rRNA from 1 species